GGGUUGUGAGGUUAAGCGACUAAGCGUACACGGUGGAUGCCCUGGCAGUCAGAGGCGAUGAAGGACGUGCUAAUCUGCGAAAAGCGUCGGUAAGGUGAUAUGAACCGUUAUAGCCGGCGAUGUCCGAAUGGGGAAACCCAGUGCAAUUCGUUGCACUAUCGUUAACUGAAUACAUAGGUUAACGAGGCGAACCGGGGGAACUGAAACAUCUAAGUACCCCGAGGAAAAGAAAUCAACCGAGAUUCCCCCAGUAGCGGCGAGCGAACGGGGAGCAGCCCAGAGUCUGAAUCAGCUUGUGUGUUAGUGGAACGGUCUGGAAAGUCCGACGGUACAGGGUGAUAGUCCCGUACACCAAAAUGCACAGGCUGUGAACUCGAAGAGUAGGGCGGGACACGUGGUAUCCUGUCUGAAUAUGGGGGGACCAUCCUCCAAGGCUAAAUACUCCUGACUGACCGAUAGUGAACCAGUACCGUGAGGGAAAGGCGAAAAGAACCCCGGCGAGGGGAGUGAAAAAGAACCUGAAACCGUGUACGUACAAGCAGUGGGAGCACCUUCGGGUGUGACUGCGUACCUUUUGUAUAAUGGGUCAGCGACUUAUAUUCUGUAGCAAGGUUAACCGUAUAGGGGAGCCGCAGGGAAACCGAGUCUUAACUGGGCGUUAAGUUGCAGGGUAUAGACCCGAAACCCGGUGAUCUAGCCAUGGGCAGGUUGAAGGUUGGGUAACACUAACUGGAGGACCGAACCGACUAAUGUUGAAAAAUUAGCGGAUGACUUGUGGCUGGGGGUGAAAGGCCAAUCAAACCGGGAGAUAGCUGGUUCUCCCCGAAAGCUAUUUAGGUAGCGCCUCGUGAAUUCAUCUUCGGGGGUAGAGCACUGUUUCGGCUAGGGGGUCAUCCCGACUUACCAACCCGAUGCAAACUACGAAUACCGAAGAAUGUUAUCACGGGAGACACACGGCGGGUGCUAACGUCCGUCGUGAAGAGGGAAACAACCCAGACCGCCAGCUAAGGUCCCAAAGUCAUGGUUAAGUGGGAAACGAUGUGGGAAGGCACAGACAGCCAGGAUGUUGGCUUAGAAGCAGCCAUCAUUUAAAGAAAGCGUAAUAGCUCACUGGUCGAGUCGGCCUGCGCGGAAGAUGUAACGGGGCUAAACCAUGCACCGAAGCUGCGGCAGCGACACUAUGUGUUGUUGGGUAGGGGAGCGUUCUGUAAGCCUGCGAAGGUGACCUGUGAGGGUUGCUGGAGGUAUCAGAAGUGCGAAUGCUGACAUAAGUAACGAUAAAGCGGGUGAAAAGCCCGCUCGCCGGAAGACCAAGGGUUCCUGUCCAACGUUAAUCGGGGCAGGGUGAGUCGACCCCUAAGGCGAGGCCGAAAGGCGUAGUCGAUGGGAAACAGGUUAAUAUUCCUGUACUUGGUGUUACUGCGAAGGGGGGACGGAGAAGGCUAUGUUAGCCGGGCGACGGUUGUCCCGGUUUAAGCAUGUAGGCUGGUUAUCCAGGCAAAUCCGGAUAAUCAAGGCUGAGGUGUGAUGACGAGGCACUACGGUGCUGAAGUAACAAAUGCCCUGCUUCCAGGAAAAGCCUCUAAGCAUCAGGUAACAUCAAAUCGUACCCCAAACCGACACAGGUGGUCAGGUAGAGAAUACCAAGGCGCUUGAGAGAACUCGGGUGAAGGAACUAGGCAAAAUGGUGCCGUAACUUCGGGAGAAGGCACGCUGGUGUGUAGGUGAAGUCCCUGCGGAUGGAGCUGAGACCAGUCGAAGAUACCAGCUGGCUGCAACUGUUUAUUAAAAACACAGCACUGUGCAAACACGAAAGUGGACGUAUACGGUGUGACGCCUGCCCGGUGCCGGAAGGUUAAUUGAUGGGGUUAUCCGUAAGGAGAAGCUCUUGAUCGAAGCCCCGGUAAACGGCGGCCGUAACUAUAACGGUCCUAAGGUAGCGAAAUUCCUUGUCGGGUAAGUUCCGACCUGCACGAAUGGCGUAAUGAUGGCCAGGCUGUCUCCACCCGAGACUCAGUGAAAUUGAACUCGCUGUGAAGAUGCAGUGUACCCGCGGCAAGACGGAAAGACCCCGUGAACCUUUACUAUAGCUUGACACUGAACAUUGAGCCUUGAUGUGUAGGAUAGGUGGGAGGCUUUGAAGCGUGGACGCCAGUCUGCGUGGAGCCAACCUUGAAAUACCACCCUUUAAUGUUUGAUGUUCUAACGUUGGCCCCUUACCGGGGUUGCGGACAGUGUCUGGUGGGUAGUUUGACUGGGGCGGUCUCCUCCCAAAGCGUAACGGAGGAGCACGAAGGUUAGCUAAUCCUGGUCGGACAUCAGGAGGUUAGUGCAAUGGCAUAAGCUAGCUUGACUGCGAGCGUGACGGCGCGAGCAGGUGCGAAAGCAGGUCAUAGUGAUCCGGUGGUUCUGAAUGGAAGGGCCAUCGCUCAACGGAUAAAAGGUACUCCGGGGAUAACAGGCUGAUACCGCCCAAGAGUUCAUAUCGACGGCGGUGUUUGGCACCUCGAUGUCGGCUCAUCACAUCCUGGGGCUGAAGUAGGUCCCAAGGGUAUGGCUGUUCGCCAUUUAAAGUGGUACGCGAGCUGGGUUUAGAACGUCGUGAGACAGUUCGGUCCCUAUCUGCCGUGGGCGCUGGAGAAUUGAGGGGGGCUGCUCCUAGUACGAGAGGACCGGAGUGGACGCAUCACUGGUGUUCGGGUUGUCAUGCCAAUGGCACUGCCCGGUAGCUAAAUGCGGAAGAGAUAAGUGCUGAAAGCAUCUAAGCACGAAACUUGCCCCGAGAUGAGUUCUCCCUGAGACUUUAAGUCUCCUGAAGGAACGUUGAAGACGACGACGUUGAUAGGCCGGGUGUGUAAGCGCAGCGAUGCGUUGAGCUAACCGGUACUAAUGAACCGUGAGGCUUAACCUUACAACGCCGAAG
rnacentral:rRNA from 1 species